GUUACUGCUAUCGGAGUUCGAUUAAGCCAUGCGAGUCUAAAGGUUUCUUCGGAAGCCUUGGCGGACUGCUCAGUUACACGUGGAUAACCUGCCCUUAGGUCUGGCAUAACCCCGGGAAACUGGGGAUAAUACCGGAUAGAUCAGGGGUCGCUGGAAUGCGCCCUGAUCCAAAGCUCCGGCGCCUAAGGAUGGGUCUGCGACCUAUCAGGUUGUAGUGGGUGUAAUGUACCUACUAGCCGACGACGGGUACGGGUUGUGAGAGCAAGAGCCCGGAGAUGGAUUCUGAGACACGAAUCCAGGCCCUACGGGGUGCAGCAGGCGCGAAAACUUUACAAUGUGCGAAAGCACGAUAAGGGAACUCUGAGUGCCCCCUAAGGGGGCUGUUCUAGUGUCUAAAAAGCAAUAGAAGUAAGGGCUGGGCAAGACCGGUGCCAGCCGCCGCGGUAACACCGGCAGCCCAAGUGGUAGCCACGUUUAUUGGGUCUAAAGCGUUCGUAGCCGGCUUGGUAAGUUCCUUGGUAAAUUUAGCCGCUUAACGGUUAAGCUUUCAGGGAAUACUGCUUGGCUUGGGACUGGGAGAGGUCAGAGGUACUCCAGGGGUAGGGGUGAAAUCCAUUAAUCCUUGGGGGACCACCGGUAGCGAAGGCGUCUGACCAGACCAGCUCCGGCGGUGAGGGACGAAGGCUAGGGGCGCGAACCGGAUUAGAUACCCGGGUAGUCCUAGCUGUAAACGAUGCGGGCUAGGUGUUGGCAUUACUGCGAGUGGUGCCAGUGCCGAAGGGAAGCCGUUAAGCUCGCCAUCUGGGGAGUACGGUCGCAAGGCUUAAACUUAAAGGAAUUGGCGGGGGAGCACCACAACGGGUGGAGCCUGCGGUUC
rnacentral:rRNA from 1 species